AGGACCAUAGACGUGAUGACUGUGUUUUGUUAAUGACCCUACUAUUCUCUCAGGAGCAAUAUUAGAGCUAUGGAUGCUCAUGGAGGUUCGCUGACUUACUGCUUUGUUAAUCACAGUAGCUGAAUCCAACCCACGCGUUAACUACUUGUGAGGGUGUGGGACAGUGUGGCAUUGCUAAAUGAAAGGAAAAUUUAUUGUUUGAACCCACCCCUGCUGGUAGUCCUGCUACCAUCUGUGCAUUGCACUGUGGCACUUCUCAAGUACAGGCUCAGCAGCAGCAGCUCAGCGUGAGAACAACUACCUGUGAAUGAAGAGAGGGUGGAGGAGUUCCUC